GUAGCAUCUGGUUUGAUUUGUGGCGACGGGAUUUGGACAUUGCCUAGUUCAAUUUUGGCUCUGGCGGGAGUCAAGGCACCGAUUUGUAUGAAGUUCCUUUCAAGGUCAACCAACGUGGAAGUAGAUAAGUUCCUAAGAUCGUAGAUCUGAAAUUUUGACUCUUUGAAUUUAUCUAUUGCUUUGUGCUAUCUAUAAAUACAUUUAUGGGCUAAAUUAUCCACCCUCUUCUUUUGGUUUCUUUAUGUUGUGUUGGUU
rnacentral:misc_RNA from 1 species